rnacentral:rRNA from 1 species
GACGAACGCUGGCGGCGUGCUUAACACAUGCAAGUCGAACGAAGUGGCGAACGGGUGAGUAACGCGUAAUCAACCUGCCCUUCAGAGGGGGACAACAGUUGGAAACGACUGCUAAUACCGCAUACUGAAGGAGGGGAUUGCGUCUGAUUAGCUAGCUGGAGGGGUAACGGCCCACCAAGGCGAUGAUCAGUAGCCGGUCUGAGGGGGUGAACGGCCAAAUUGGUACUGGGACACGGCCCAGACUCCUACGGGAGGGAGCAGUGGGGAAUCUUCGGAAAUGGACGAAAGUCUGACGGAGCAACGCCGCGGGGGUGAUGACGGCCUUCGGGUUGUAAAGCUCUGUUAAUCGGGACGCGGUACCGGAAGAGAAAGCCACGGCUAACUACGUGCCAGCCGCCGCGGUAAUUC